rnacentral:lncRNA from 1 species
AAGGGUCGCACCCUUGGCAUAUGGAAGUUCGUUCCCAGGCUAGGGGUAGAAUCAGAGAUGCAGCUGCCGACUUACACCACAGGCACAGCAACACCAGAUCUAAACUUCGUCUGUGACCUGCACCACAGCUCAUGGCAACACUGGAUCCUUAACCGACUGAGCGAGGCCAGGGAUCAAACCUGCAUACUCAUGGAUCCUACCACUGAGCCACAAUGGGAACUCCCUGUUUUUUUUUUUUUUUUUCUUCAAAUAUAGAGGUUUUUCCAACAAAAAAGAUCCGUCAUCUGGCUGCUGAUGAGUAGGAACUUCAAUGGUAUAUUAAUCCCAACAGCAACUCAAACCAAUAAACCUUCUUAUAGCUUAACCAUGGAUACAAGAGGUAUCCUCUAAGAGGUUGCAAAGGAUGCAGCCCUCACAAGAUUAAGAAAGUUCACUCCCAGGAGUUCCCAUUGUGGCUCAGUGGAAAUGAAUCUGACUAGCACCAUGAGGACACAGGUUCCAUCCCUGGCUUCGCUUACUGGGCUAAGGAUCCAGCAUUGCCGUGAGCUGCAGUGUACGUCACAGGCGUGGGGCUCAGAUCUGGUGUGGCUGUGGCUACAGCUCCGAUUUGACCCCUAGCCUGGGAACCUCCAUAUGCCACAGGUGUGGCCCUAAAAAGCAAAAAAAUGGUGUACUGAACCAUGUCUCAGGUUUUUUAUGAGGAAGAGACACCUCCAGCCACAAACCUCUAAUCUAUAACACCCAGCAGGCACAACUGAAAUGGGACUUUCCCAGCAUUAACAAGACAACAAAGGUUGAGAUGCCAAAGGCCCCUUUUGGAGUAGGUCCCCUUAAGACAAACACCCCUGAAUGCCAGCAUGGUGGGACAAAGAAUGUUACUUGUCACCAUGUGUUCUGAAUUCCCAUCCUGCAGAGCUGGCUGCCAGACCAAAGCCAAUACUUGCAUCUUCUGGCUGGGGAUGACUAGAGACUAUUGUUACUAGUCCAAAAGCCAAGCUCUCAAGACAAAGAACAAGAUGAAAGGAAAGCCUUAUCUGGCUUAUGGUUCUUUUCCUAUGACAAAUAACACAAAAGACAGGGACAACAUAAGACAAUGACCAUCUCCAGAAGGGAAAUGGGUCAAUAGAAAACAAGAAAACUUAUAACAAUCAUCUUUACCAGUUUUUAUACCGAAGGAACUAAUUCACACAAAUAAUUUCUUGUUUAUCUAAAUUUAGAAAGGAAGGAAUAAGGUGAAAUUUCUCCUUCCUCUCUCAACUGGUCCCCACAGACAGAGAUCUGAGAAGGCUGACUUUGGGUAAGAAUUCUUACCCGUUGCUGCUUUUUGCGUUUUCCAGGUUCCUAUCUUCAGCCUCCAUAGCAAGUAUGGUGUCUAAGUAGGUUCCAUCAUGGGUUGCCAAACUGUCAGGGAUGAAAAAAAUUUUUCCCUCCACAAUUUUAGGUUCUUGGUUGAGACCCCACCCCUGUAAUAAAAGACAAAUUAACGAGAGAAAAACAAAUAGGAGUUUAAUAACAUGUAUACAUCCUAUACACAAGAGGCACCCUGGAAUACUGAGCAACUCCCCCAAAUGGCCGAAGUCAUCACCUUACAUACCUUCUAGAGCUAAUGACACAAAACCUUUGGGAGUGGAGAAAGCCAGUUAUGGGAAGUUACCAGGAAAAGUACAGUAAACAAGGAAAGGUUGCAAUGCAGAUUUAAGUUGGGUAUCUUCUCCAUUGCUAAGAGUUUCUUUUUUUUUUUUUUUUUUUUUUGUCUUUUUGCUAUUUCUUUGGGCCGCUCC